rnacentral:rRNA from 1 species
CGUAGGGUGCGAGCGUUAAUCGGAAUUACUGGGCGUAAAGCGUGCGCAGGCGGUUAUGUAAGACAGUUGUGAAAUCCCCGGGCUCAACCUGGGAAUUGCAUCUGUGACUGCAUAGCUAGAGUACGGUAGAGGGGGAUGGAAUCCCGCGUGUAGCAGUGAAAUGCGUAGAUAUGCGGAGGAACACCGAUGGCGAAGGCAAUCCCCUGGACCUGUACUGACGCUCAUGCACGAAAGCGUGGGGAGCAAACAGGAUUAGAUACCCUGGUAGUCCACGCCCUAAACGAUGUCAACUGGUUGUUGGGUGCAUUAGUACUCAGUAACGAAGCUAACGCGUGAAGUUGACCGCCUGGGGAGUACGGCCGCAAGGUUG